CAGUCGCAUGCCCUAGACCCGAAGCCUGGUGAUCUAUCCAUGGGCAGGGUGAAGCGGAGGUAAGACUCCGUGGAGGCCCGAACCCACUUCGGUUGAAAACGGAGGGGAUGACCUGUGGAUAGGGGUGAAAGGCCAAUCAAACCAGGUGAUAGCUGGUUCUCCCCGAAAUGCAUUUAGGUGCAGCGUCGUGCGUUCAGUGCCGGAGGUAGAGCACUGGAUGGGCUAGGGGCCCAACAAGGUUACCGAACUCAGCCAAACUCCGAAUGCCCAUACUCCAGAACGUGGCAGUGAGACUGCGGGGGAUAAGCUCCGUAGUCGAGAGGGAAACAGCCCAGAUCGACAGCUAAGGUCCCUAAAUCUUUGCUAAGUGGAAAAGGAUGUGAAGUUGCACAGACAGCCAGGAGGUUGGCUUAGAAGCAGCCACCCUUGAAAGAGUGCGUAACAGCUCACUGGUCGAGUGAUUUCGCGCCGAUAAUGUAGCGGGGCUAAGCAAAGUACCGAAGCUUCGGCAUUGGUCAUCUUUCGAGAUGACUGAUGGGUAGGGGAGCGUUGUAUCAGCUGUGAAGGUGUCCUGUAAGGGAUGCUGGAGCAAAUACAAGUGCGAAUGCCGGCAUGAGUAGCGAAACGGGAGCGAGAAACUCCCGCACCGUAUGUCCAAGGGUUCCUGGGGAAGGUUAAUCCGCCCAGGGUAAGUCGGGACCUAAGCCGAGGCCGAGAGGCGUAGGCGAUGGACAACUGGUUGAUAUUCCAGUACCACCACAUGCGCGCCCACCCCGACUCCAGUUGCUAAGGAAAGCCUUCGGGCCUACCGACCCACUGGUUCUAGGGGAGCGAUGGGGUGACGGAGGAGGGUAGUCGGACCCACGCGCUGGUUGACGUGGGGUAAGCAGGUAGGGGGGUUUCCUAGGCAAAUCCGGGAAACCAUUAACCCUGAGAUGCGAUGCCGACCCGCUUGAGGGGAAGCCGAUAAGCCCAUGCUCCCGAGAAAAGCCUCUAGUGAGCUCAUGUGGUGCCCGUACCCCAAACCGACUCAGGUGGACAGGUAGAGCAUACCAAGGCGAUCGAGUGAACCCUGGUUAAGGAACUAGGCAAAUUGGCCGCGUAACUUCGGGAUAAGCGGCGCCAUCUGUGGUGUAGGACCUUGCGUCCGAGGCUGCGGGUGGUCGCAGAAACCAGGCCCAAGCGACUGUUUACUAAAAACACAGGAGCGUGCUAAGCCGUAAGGCGCCGUAUACGCUCUGACGCCUGCCCGGUGCCGGAAGGUUACGGGGAAGGGUUAGCCGGGACUUCGGUCCCAGCGAAGCUCUGAACCUAAGCCCCGGUAAACGGCCGCGGUAA
rnacentral:rRNA from 1 species